GUCGCUUUGGUUUCUCUAACAUUUCUAAGUUUUAGGCCUCUUUGUCCUCUGAAAGUACUGAAAAACCAAAAACGAAAAUGUCUUAAUAAAUGGAGCAGUUCUAACUGGAACAAGAGUGGGUUGUGAAUUAUUUGGAGGCAGAAAUAUAAAGAGGUGUAGGUUUGAGUUUUGUGUAAGAAAAGAGAGGUAGAUUUAAAGAUUUGGGAAUUCUUGGGGAAUGAUAGAUUUGCAGAUUACCCACUGUAUAGAAAAUUACUUUUUUUACUUUAGCUUAUCUUAAGUGCAAGGCAUGUGCCUCCACUGUCAAAUUAGCAUUUAAUUUUUAACAGAAUGUUCUAUUUACUGCAUGGAUGUAGUCCAGGGACAAGGUCUUAAUUUAGAUCCUCCAAAUACAAUACAUAAUAGUUUUUGCAGCUUGCCCACAUUGCUUUUAAGUCUAUUGUUAAUUGAGAUUCUCCAAAAGUAAAUACAUACUAGUUUUCGUAACUUCCCCUUUUUUCUUUUGUCAGUUAUUGUGUUAAUUAUAUGCAAUGAAAUUCAUCUGGUAGUUGAACUACUAUGACUAUGGCUCUAGCAUUUAGCACUUACACAUUUUGGGUCCUCCGACAACUUUUGAUUAACUGCUACUAUAUCCCCCAACUGUGGCUAGUCCCACAAGGGUUUCAAUACUAUAGGAACCUCUCCUAUUCUGCAAGGGGGGAAAAAACCCAUAGAUCCUGUUUCUGUUCAUUUGAACUUAGGUAUUACCUUUAGCUCUGUGAACAUUGUUUUUUCUCCUUAGCAUUCAUCAACUUGUUUAAAUGUGUUGAAAAUUUUGAUGAAUAAUGAGAGGAAAAAUAGUCCUUAUAAUGGUUCAUAUUCACAUUAUAAAUCAAAUUUAACAAAAAUGAUGAUAGAACUGAAAGCCUGUAAUGAAUUGCUCAAGGAUCUCAACUUCCUACUUGGUAGUUCAGGGACCUAAAUGAUGGAGUCUGCAGUAUUGGAGAAAACAUUUUCUAGUAUCUUACGCAGGUUUAUGAGCCAAUGAUGUUUCCUCUUUGCACUAGUUAUUGGCAGAGCAAACUUCCCUGGUGUCAUCAUAAAACGGAGGCUUGUAGGCUAAGCAUGGAAUUACCAUCAUUGUUACUAUGGCUCUGAUUUGCCUUUCAAUCCAAGAUGUGGGACUGUGGGAAGAUUGAAUGAAUGACUGGAAUGUUAACUUGGGACCUAAUGUUAUUUAGGCUGUGUUUGGAACAAGUGAACUUAACUUAAGGAGGGUGAGGAUACAAACCCCUCACAAAAUGAGAAUUGAGACAGUACAUUGACCUCUUAGACAAUUAUAAAUGUACUUGAGACGAUACAUUUCGAAUAUCACUAAUUUAGAUGGAAUUUAAAAUAGAUUGUCUCAAUUCUGCUUAGAAUUAUCUAAGAGGUUCAUUUUAUCAUUGUACAAGGGAUUAGCAUUAUUUUAUAAUUAAUAUAAGUGACAGUAUUCUAAUGAACUCCAUAAACCAAAAAUGAGUAUUUUACCUUUAUAGAUUGAUGAUAGUGCCUCAUUAGCUAUAUUUGGUGGUGUUAUGUUAGAAAUACAUGGAAGGUUAAGCUGCAAAAUCCUCUGUUCAAUGUGUUAACAGGUUCGUACUUUUAAAGGUCAUCAAAAUGAGAAGAACUUUGUAGGUCUCACCGUCAAUAGUGAGUACAUUGCAUGUGGAAGCGAAACCAAUGAAGUAUACGUCUACCAUAAGGAAAUCUCCAAACCUGUAACAUGGCACAGAUUUGGUUCACCUGACACAGAUGAUCAUGACGAAGAUGCAGGAUCUUACUUCAUCAGUGCUGUGUGCUGGAAGAGCGAUACACCUACAAUGCUAACUGCUAACAGUCAAGGGACGAUCAAGGUGCUGGUGCUUGCAGCUUAAAUCAAUCUGAAAAUGGAAGAUAGAUUUAAGAUGAGAAGAAAAAGUUGCAUUUGAGUUAAACAUCUUUACUUUGGUCUAUUCUUGAUUAUGAUGGCGUUCCAGUGUAUAUAAAUGAUCUAGUGUGAAGAAAGAUAGAUAGAUGAAUAGAUAUCAGUUUUUUUUUUUUUUUUUUUUUCAUGUAAAUUUUUACCAUUUAUAGGGUUGUUAAAAUAUACAGGCAACCUACCCUGAUAUGUACUAUUAUUUUACUCCUGGUUAAAGUUAAUUCAUUAGUGCCACUGGCCUCCUUUAAUGGUGUAGUAGUUAAAAUUAAUCCUUCUUUUCUCUCUCUUUGUGAGAGUGGUUUGAA